GUCUAUGGCCAUACCACCCUGAACGCACCCAAUCUCGUCUGAUCUCGGAAGCUAAGCAGGGCCUGGCCUGGUUAGUACUUGGAUGGGAGAUCGCCUGGGAAUACCGGGUGCUGUAGGCU
rnacentral:rRNA from 1 species